UGAUACCGAACGUGGGAAUCUUUCUCAUCUGCAUUGGUGCCUAUGUAUUUCUCCAAGUGGGCCAUGUGAAUGCAGAUAUGACACGGACUUCAAAUACUGGUGCUAAAUCAGGUAAAGCAGGAACUCCAGGCACAAAAAAUGAGCAGCCUAUAAAGAAUAAUCCUAGCCCUGCCACGGAGUCUCCGUCGGCUGGAGGAUCAGCAAAAGUGGAUGCCUGUGUUUUCCCGUUUACCUAUGAAGGCAAGACUUAUUAUGAUUGCACUCAGAAGCACGCUAUAUACAAUUGGUGUUCUCUAGAAGAAUCAUAUUCAGGGAAAUGGAAAUAUUGCACAA